rnacentral:misc_RNA from 1 species
AUAUUAAUGAAAUAUAUACAUAUACGGGGAAUAUACUAAUCGCGGUCAACCCUUUUAGAAGAUUGCCUCACUUAUAUGAUAGCCAUAUGAUGGCCCAAUAUAAAGGUGCCGCAUUUGGAGAGCUGAGCCCUCAUCCUUUUGCUCUUGCAGAUGCAGCAUACAGACUUAUGAUUAAUGAAGGAGUAAGUCAAUCAAUAUUGGUUAGCGGGGAGAGUGGGGCUGGCAAAACAGAAAGCA